rnacentral:rRNA from 1 species
GCAAGUCGAACGAAAGCCCUUCGGGGCGAAAGUGGCGAAAGGGCGAGUAAUGCGAUCGAACGUACCCCAAGGUGGAGGAUAGUGUCGAGAAAUCGGCGGUAAUACUCCAUGUGCUCUUCGGAGGAAAGCUUUGGCGCCUUGGGAGCGGCGAUCGUCCUAUCAGGUAGUUGGCGAGGUAACGGCUCACCAAGCCGAAGACGGGUAGCGGGUGUGAGAGCAUGACC